rnacentral:rRNA from 1 species
CCUACGGGAGGCAGCAGUGGGGGAUAUUGCACAAUGGGGGAAACCCUGAUGCAGCGACGCCGCGUGUGGGAAGACGGUCUUCUGGAUUGUAAACCACUGUCCCCAGGGACGAAAAUGACGGUACCUUGGGAGGAAGCUCCGGCUAACUACGUGCCAGCACCCGCGGUAAUACGUAGGGAGCAAGCGUUGUCCGGAAUUACUGGGCGUAAAGCGCUCGUAGGCGGUAUGUCAAGUCAAGGGUGAAAUCCCCGCGCUCAACGUGGGAACUGCCUGUGAAACUGGCAAACUGGAGUGUGUGAGAGGAUAGUGGAAUUCGAGGGGUAGGAGUGAAAGCCGUAGAUAUCUGGAGGAACAUCAGUGGCGAAGGCGACUAUCUGGCACAUAACUGACGCUGAGGAGCGAAAGCGUGGGUAGCAAACAGGAUUAGAUACCCCUGUAGUC